UACGGAGGGUGCGAGCGUUGUCCGGAAUCAUUGGGCGUAAAGGGUGCGUAGGUGGCGCCGUAAGUCAGGUGUGAAAUUUCGGAGCUUAACUCCGAAACUGCAUUUGAUACUGCGGUGCUUGAGGACUGGAGAGGAGACUGGAAUUUACGGUGUAGCAGUGAAAUGCGUAGAGAUCGUAAGGAAGACCAGUGGCGAAGGCGGGUCUCUGGACAGUUCCUGACACUGAGGCACGAAGGCCAGGGGAGCAAACGGG
rnacentral:rRNA from 1 species